UGCGUAGGGGGCAAGCGUUGUCCGGAUUUAUUGGGCGUAAAGAGCGUGUAGGCGGCCAGGUAGGUCUGCUGUGAAAACCCGCGGCUCAACCGUGUGGUCUGCAGUCGAUACGGGCAGGCUAGAGUUCGGUAGGGGAGACUGGAAUUCCUGGUGUAGCGGUGAAAUGCGCAGAUAUCAGGAGGAACACCGGUGGCGAAGGCGGGUCUCUGGGCCGAUACUGACGCUGAGGAGCGAAAGCGUGGGGAGCGAACAGG
rnacentral:rRNA from 1 species